AGUGCUCAGGACCAUGUCUAGGAUACAGGAGAGCUCAGUAAAUGAGAAACUGAUGGGCUGGAGACCCAUGUGUGGGGGACACUGGGUUGGUUCCUCAUGUGGCUUCUGUGAGCUGCCCUGUUAACCCCUCCCUGCCCUCAGUCACCCUGAAACCCAAUGGGCAGUAGGCUCCUUACUCAGGGAAGAUACUUGAUGUUCCCUCGGGCUGAGCAGAGUGCUGCCGUGAACGGAAGGGCUCGCUCCAAACUCAUGCUGGAAUUCUAAGCCCUAGUAUGGUAGCAUUCGGAGGUGUAUCUUUGGGAGGGGGCGUGUCACAGAGCGGACCCCUUAUGGAUGGAGUUAGUGUCCUUACAAAAGCUGUCCUGACCCCAGCUCUUGGCGAACCCCUUUUCUGCCUGCAUAGAUGCAAGGAGAAGUCGGCAGCCUGCAGACAGAAGGAUCCUCACAGGCGUCCGCCCUGCUGGCACCUCUACCUCAGACUGCCUGAAAUAAACGGUUGUUCAUAA
rnacentral:lncRNA from 1 species